rnacentral:rRNA from 1 species
GACGAACGCUGGCGGCGUGCCUAAUACAUGCAAGUAGAACGCUGAAGGAGGAGCUUGCUUCUCCGGAUGAGUUGCGAACGGGUGAGUAACGCGUAGGUAACCUGCCUGGUAGCGGGGGAUAACUAUUGGAAACGAUAGCUAAUACCGCAUAAGAGUAGAUGUCGCAUGACAUUUGCUUAAAAGGUGCAACUGCACCACUACCAGAUGGACCUGCCUUGUAUUAGCUAGUUGGUGAGGUAACGGCUCACCAAGGCAACGAUACAUAGCCGACCUGAGAGGGUGAUCGGCCACACUGGGACUGAGACACGGCCCAGACUCCUACGGGAGGCAGCAGUAGGGAAUCUUCGGCAAUGGACGGAAGUCUGACCGAGCAACGCCGCGUGAGUGAAGAAGGUUUUCGGAUCGUAAAGCUCUGUUGUAAGAGAAGAACGAGUGUGAGAGUGGAAAGUUCACACUGUGACGGUAUCUUACCAGAAAGGGACGGCUAACUACGUG